GAUGAACGCUGGCGGCGUGCUUAACACAUGCAAGUCGAACGAUGAAGCCCAGCUUGCUGGGUGGAUUAGUGGCGAACGGGUGAGUAACACGUGAGUAACCUGCUCUUGACUCUGGGAUAAGCCUGGGAAACUGGGUCUAAUACUGGAUAUGACUUCUCAUCGCAUGGUGGGGGGUGGAAAGAUUUAUUGGUCUUGGAUGGACUCGCGGCCUAUCAGCUUGUUGGUGAGGUAAUGGCUCACCAAGGCGACGACGGGUAGCCGGCCUGAGAGGGUGACCGGCCACACUGGGACUGAGACACGGCCCAGACUCCUACGGGAGGCAGCAGUGGGGAAUAUUGCACAAUGGGCGCAAGCCUGAUGCAGCGACGCCGCGUGAGGGAUGACGGCCUUCGGGUUGUAAACCUCUUUCAGUAGGGAAGAAGCGAGAGUGACGGUACCUGCAGAAGAAGCGCCGGCUAACUACGUG
rnacentral:rRNA from 1 species